rnacentral:rRNA from 1 species
UGCAGUCGAGCGGACAGAAGGGAGCUUGCUCCCGGAUGUUAGCGGCGGACGGGUGAGUAACACGUGGGUAACCUGCCUGUAAGACUGGGAUAACUCCGGGAAACCGGAGCUAAUACCGGAUAGUUCCUUGAACCGCAUGGUUCAAGGAUGAAAGACGGUUUCGGCUGUCACUUACAGAUGGACCCGCGGCGCAUUAGCUAGUUGGUGGGGUAAUGGCUCACCAAGGCGACGAUGCGUAGCCGACCUGAGAGGGUGAUCGGCCACACUGGGACUGAGACACCGCGUGAGUGAUGAAGGUUUUCGGAUCGUAAAGCUCUGUUGUUAGGGAAGAACAAGUGCGAGAGUAACUGCUCGCACCUUGACGGUACCUAACCAGAAAGCCACGGCUAACUACGUGCCAGCAGCCGCGGUAAUACGUAGGUGGCAAGCGUUGUCCGGAAUUAUUGGGCGUAAAGGGCUCGCAGGCGGUUUCUUAAGUCUGAUGUGAAAGCACGUGUAGCGGUGAAAUGCGUAGAGAUGUGGAGGAACACCAGUGGCGAAGGCGACUCUCUGGUCUGUAACUGACGCUGAGGAGCGAAAGCGUGGGGAGCGAACAGGAUUAGAUACCCUGGUAGUCCACGCCGUAAACGAUGAGUGCUAAGUGUUAGGGGGUUUCCGCCCCUUAGUGCUGCAGCUAACGCAUUAAGCACUCCGCCUGGGGAGUACGGUCGCAAGACUGAAACUCAAAGGAAUUGACGGGGGCCCGCACAAGCGGUGGAGCAUGUGGUUUAAUUCGAAGCAACGCGAAGAACCUUACCAGGUCUUGACAUCCUCUGACAACCCUAGAGAUAGGGCUUUCCCUUCGGGGACAGAGUGACAGGUGGUGCAUGGUUGUCGUCAGCUCGUGUCGUGAGAUGUUGGGUUAAGUCCCGCAACGAGCGCAACCCUUGAUCUUAGUUGCCAGCAUUCAGUUGGGCACUCUAAGGUGACUGCCGGUGACAAACCGGAGGAAGGUGGGGAUGACGUCAAAUCAUCAUGCCCCUUAUGACCUGGGCUACACACGUGCUACAAUGGACAGAACAAAGGGCUGCAAGACCGCAAGGUUUAGCCAAUCCCAUAAAUCUGUUCUCAGUUCGGAUCGCAGUCUGCAACUCGACUGCGUGAAGCUGGAAUCGCUAGUAAUCGCGGAUCAGCAUGCCGCGGUGAAUACGUUCCCGGGCCUUGUACACACCGCCCGUCACACCACGAGAGUUUGCAACACCCGAAGUCGGUGAGGUAACCU